rnacentral:rRNA from 1 species
UGCGAUCAUACCAGCACUAAUGCACCGGAUCCCAUCAGAACUCCACAGUUAAGCGUGCUUGGGCGAGAGUAGUACUAGGAUGGGUGACCCCCUGGGAAGUCCUCGUGUUGCA